GGGGAAUUUUCCGCAAUGGGCGAAAGNCCUGACGGAGCAAUACCGCGUGAGGGAGGAAGGCUCUUGGGUUGUAAACCUCUUUUCUCAGGGAAUAAGAACUGAAGGUACCUGAGGAAUCAGCAUCGGCUAACUCCGUGCCAGCAGCCGCGGUAAUACGGAGGAUGCAAGCGUUAUCCGGAAUGAUUGGGCGUAAAGCGUCCGCAGGUGGUUUAUCAAGUCUGCUGUCAAAGAGUUUGGCUCAACCAAAUAAAGGCAGUGGAAACUGACAGACUGGAGUGCGGUAAGGGCAGAGGGAAUUCCUGGUGUAGCGGUGAAAUGCGUAGAGAUCAGGAAGAACACCGGUGGCGAAAGCGCUCUGCUGGGCCGUAACUGACACUGAGGGACGAAAGCUAGGGGAGCGAAUGGGAUUAGAUACCCCAAGUC
rnacentral:rRNA from 1 species